UUUAUAUGGGAAUAAAGUGCAGUAUGUAUACUGCUUUGCAUGUACCUUAUGAAUAAGGAUCGGCUAACUCCGUGCCAGCAGCCGCGGUAAUACGGAGGAUCCGAGCGUUAUCCGGAUUUAUUGGGUUUAAAGGGAGCGUAGGCGGGUUGUUAAGUCAGUUGUGAAAGUUUGCGGCUCAACCGUAAAAUUGCAGUUGAUACUGGCAUCCUUGAGUACAGUAGAGGUAGGCGGAAUUCGUGGUGUAGCGGUGAAAUGCUUAGAUAUCACGAAGAACUCCGAUUGCGAAGGCAGCCUGCUGGACUGUAACUGACGCUGAUGCUCGAAAGUGUGGGUAUCAAACAGGAUUAGAUACCCUGGUAGU
rnacentral:rRNA from 1 species